rnacentral:rRNA from 1 species
UGGGGAAUAUUGGACAAUGGGGGCAACCCUGAUCCAGCAAUGCCGCGUGAGUGAUGAAGGCCUUCGGGUUGUAAAGCUCUUUCGCCCACGACGAUGGUGACGGUAGUGGGAGAAGAAGCCCCGGCUAACUUCGUGCCAGCAGCCGCGGUAAUACGAAGGGGGCUAGCGUUGUUCGGAGUUACUGGGCGUAAAGGGCGCGUAGGCGGCCCUCCAAGUCGGGUGUGAAAGCCCACGGCUCAACCGUGGAAUUGCACUCGAGACUGAAGGGCUCGAGGACGGGAGAGGAUGGUGGAAUUCCCAGUGUAGAGGUGAAAUUCGUAGAUAUUGGGAAGAACACCGGUGGCGAAGGCGGCCAUCUGGACCGUAUCUGACGCUGAGGCGCGAAAGCGUGGGGAGCAAACAGGAUUAGAUACCCCCGUAGUCC